GACGAACCGUGCGAACGUUGUUCGGAAUCACUGGGCUUAAAGGGCGCGUAGGCGGGCUAUCAAGUCCGGGGUGAAAUCCUCCCGCUCAACGGGAGAACUGCCUCGGAUACUGAUGGUCUCGAGGGGGAUAGGGGCACACGGAACUGUGGGUGGAGCGGUGAAAUGCGUUGAUAUCCAUAGGAACUCCGGUGGCGAAAGCGGUGUGCUGGAUCCCUUCUGACGCU
rnacentral:rRNA from 1 species